rnacentral:snRNA from 1 species
AGUUUUGCACAGUGGCAAUAUCGUAGCUAAUGAGGUUUAUCCAAGGUGUGGUUAUGGAUAAUUGAAAAAAAAAAAGGACUCUAGAGAAAUUUCUUACCUCUUCUUCCAUGUGAGG